rnacentral:rRNA from 1 species
UUAGUGUAAGUAAAAGUCGUAACAAGGUUUCCGUAGGUGAACCUGCGGAAGGAUCAUUAUUGAAAUAAACCUGAUGGGUUGUUGCUGGCUCUCUAGGGAGCAUGUGCACGCCUUGUCAUCUUUAUAUCUCCACCUGUGCACCUUUUGUAGACCUUUCGGGGUCUAUGUUGCUUCAUUUUUCCACAAUGUAUGUUAAUAGAAUGUUGUGCCCUGUAUAAUAUAUACAACUUUCAGCAACGGAUCUCUUGGCUCUCGCAUCGAUGAAGAACGCAGCGAAAUGCGAUAAGUAAUGUGAAUUGCAGAAUUCAGUGAAUCAUCGAAUCUUUGAACGCACCUUGCGCUCCUUGGUAUUCCGAGGAGCAUGCCUGUUUGAGUGUCAUUAAUAUACAUAUAUCAAGCCUUCUCUUGUAGAAGGGUUUGGAUGUGGGGGUUUGCUGGCCUCUUAAUCUUAAGAGUUCAGCUCUCCUGAAAUGCAUUAGCAGAACAACCUUAUGUUCAUUGGUGUGAUAACUAUCUACGCUAUUGAAUGUUGAGGGGGAAGUUCAGCUUUCUAACGGUCCUUGGACAACUCAUCAUUAAUGUGACCUCAAAUCAGGUAGGACUACCCGCUGAACUUAAGCAUAUCAAUAAGCGGAGGAAAAGAAACUAACAAGGAUUCCCCUAGUAACUGCGAGUGAAGCGGGAAAAGCUCAAAUUUAAAAUCUGGCGGUUUUUUUGGCCGUCCGAGUUGUAAUCUAGAGAAGUGUAAUCCGCGCUGGACCGUGUACAAGUCUCCUGGAAUGGAGCAUCAUAGAGGGUGAGAAUCCCGUCUUUGACAUGGACUGCCAGGGCUUUGUGAUGCGCUCUCAAAGAGUCGAGUUGUUUGGGAAUGCAGCUCAAAAUGGGUGGUAAAUCCCAUCUAAAGCUAAAUAUUGGCGAGAGACCGAUAGCGAACCAGUACCGUGAGGGAAAGAUGAAAGAACUU